rnacentral:rRNA from 1 species
CCCUUAGAUGUUCUGGGCCGCAUGCGCGCUACACUGAUGCAUUCAACGAGUUACCUUGACCGUGAGGUCCGGGAAAUCUUUGAAACUGCAUCGUGAUGGGGAUAGAUUAUUGCAAUUCUUAAUCUUCAACGAGGAAUGCCUAGUAAGCGCAAGUCAUCAGCUUGCAUUGAUUACGUCCCUGCCCUUUGUACACACCGCCCGUCGCACCUACCGAUUGAAUGGUCCGGUGAAAUCUUCGGAUCUGAGAGAUGUCUGAUUAAUUUCGGACGCCUUUUGGAAAAGUUGUUUAAACCUUACCAUUUAGAGGAAGGUGAANUCGUAACA